rnacentral:tRNA from 1 species
GGGCCCGUGGCUCAGCUUGGUAGAGCAACAGUAAAAAAAUGUUGAAACUCUUAUCAAGUCUGGAGACAUCUGUAGGUCGGGGGUUCAAAUCCCUCCGGGCCCG